CUGGCAGGCCAACUUCAUGAAGGAGCAAACUUUACUAAGCUCCUACUGUGUACCAGGACCUAGAGGAGCUCAUAGUCAGCACGUUACAAUUCAGGAUCCUAUCCAGUUUUCUACUGUGAACUCAAGGAAGUCCUCACCCCAAGGC